GGCACUAUGUGGGGGAUAAUCCAGCUACUUUGAUGUAGUAGAGAUCGAAUUUUUUCUAGUGUGA
rnacentral:tRNA from 1 species